GUUGAGGACUCUCGCGAAGGCCCUCUGUACCACUGGGGUACCUUAGGACGACAACACCAUAAUGCAGAUCACCUGGGUGAAGAUGACGAUGCAACAUCGACAUGUCGAAGUACCCAGCAAAUGUGACGACAGGAGUUCCUGUCAAAAUCUUUGAUAGUGCGCGUCUUCUUCUUCUUGGCGUCCUAUGACCCCCCGUGGGGGAAAGGGCAGACACAACGGUUCUCCAUCUCAGUCUGUCGACGGCAGCGAGCUUCACGUGGUCCGAGCCACGUCAUCUCCGCGUCCUGCAUCUCGUCAUGAAAGUGUGCAUCACUGAAAAUAUAAUACCUAAAUGGCCAUUAGAAUUGAAUUACGUUCACCCUAGAUAACACAGUACACAGUCAUGCAUGCACUAUAAUACCACAAUAUAUUAUAAUAUAAUGAGCUCUUACUUAAAAGAGCUAUGAUAUAAGUAAAGCUAUCGAUGUUAUUUGUCACACCAGAGUAAAAGUUCUUACUGUACCUUAGUUAAUGAAAAAUAAAUAAAUAAUGAUUAUUAUAAAUAAGCACACUAUACAGAAUUCUUGAAUCAGAAUAUAGGCUAAGAAUUUUGUAAGAAAAAAAAUAAUAAAUUUAGAAAUACCAUUGUGAUCUUAAUCAUACCUACUUAUAACAAUAAUAAACAAUAUAAAAUAAUUUAACAUGAUUGUGUUGAUGUAGUUUCUAAUGUGUAUUUGUAUAAAAUAAAAUAAAUUUGUCUUGG